rnacentral:rRNA from 1 species
UACGUAGGGGGCAAGCGUUGUCCGGAAUCAUUGGGCGUAAAGAGCGUGUAGGCGGCUCGAUAAGUCUGCUGUGAAAGUCCAGGGCUCAACCCUGGAAGGCCGGUGGAAACUGUCGGGCUAGAGUCCGGAAGAGGCGAGUGGAAUUCCCGGUGUAGCGGUGAAAUGCGCAGAUAUCGGGAGGAACACCAAUGGCGAAGGCAGCUUACUGGGCCGAAACUGACGCUGAGGAGCGAAAGCGUGGGGAGCGAACAGG